rnacentral:rRNA from 1 species
AUACGGAGGGUGCAAGCGUUAUUCGGAAUCACUGGGCGUAAAGGACGCGUAGGCGGGUUGGCAAGUCAGAUGUGAAAUCCUACAGCUUAACUGUAGAACUGCAUUUGAAACUGCUAACCUAGAGUAUGGGAGGGGGAGAUGGAAUUAGUGGUGUAGGGGUAAAAUCCGUAGAUAUCACUAGGAAUACCGAAAGCGAAGGCGAUCUCCUGGAACAUAACUGACGCUAAGGCGUGAAAGCGUGGGGAGCAAACAGGAUUAGAAGCCCCAGUAGUCC